rnacentral:rRNA from 1 species
GACAGAGGCCUCAAGCGUUAGGCGGAAUCACUGGGCUUAAAGCGUGUGUAGGCGGAUCGUUAGGUGCCUUGUGAAAUCCCACGGCUUAACUGUGGAACGGCUGGGCAUACUGGCGGUCUUGAGCCAUCUAGGGGCGACUGGAACAAACGGUGGAGCGGUGAAAUGCGUAGAUAUCGGGAGGAACACCGGUGGCGAAGGCGGCGAUCUGGGUCGAUACUGACGCUGAGGUGCGAAAGCGUGGGGAGCAAACAGG